AACGAACGCUGGCGGCAUGCCUAACACAUGCAAGUCGAACGAGACCUUCGGGUCUAGGUGCGCACGGGUGCGUAACGCGAGGGAAGCUGCACGUGGGUUGGGAAUAACUCCCCGCAAGGGGUGCCAAUACCGGACAAUGUCUUAGGACCCAUGAUUUCUUGGCUUUGGAGGGGCCCGCGUGAGAUUAGCAACUGGGUAAGGUAAACGCCUACCAAGGCUACGAUCCAUAGCUGGUCUGGGAGGAGGGCCCGCACCACUGGGGGUGGGACCCGGCCCAGAUGUUUGCGGGAGGCAGCAGUGGGGACUGUUGGACGACGGGCGAAUGCCUGAUGCAGUCAUGUCGCGUAAGUGAGGUAGUCGUUAGGAUUGUAAAGCUGUUUUACCCGCGCUGAUAAUGACAGUACCGGGAGAAUAAGCUCCGGCUAACUACGUG
rnacentral:rRNA from 1 species